GAGAGAGGUGGAGAGGCCGAAGCGACUCCUCGUAGUCAUCUUCGCCCUUGUCUCUUCCGCCUCUCUCUCUCUCUCUCUCUCUCGAUUUCUUCCGUUGGUGGAUUUAGAUGUAAAUAUGUUGAAUCUUUGGGCGUGGUGAGACCCUUCAUUGGUUUCCCGGCCGACAACGAAAGAGAAGGCUGACCGGCUUCUAGGAUUUCUUGGUUAUUUUCUUGGAUUAUCUUGGGUGAAAAGCAUGAGGACGAGGCCUCGAGAUGACGACAAUGCAUCCAGUUCGAUGUGGCCUAAGCAAUCUAGAGGCGCAUCGUCCAGUCAUAGUGAUUCUAAGCCAGGAAGGGGUGAUGCCAGAGAGUUCCUGGCUAUAGUCAAAAGGGCACUUCACAAUGAAGCACAUACACAUGAUCAAUUCCUUGAUAUCAUGAAGAGUUUAGAGAUUUCAAGUAUCACUCCAAUUGAGGCUAGCAGAAGGGUAGAGAACUACUUAAAGUGCAUCCUGACUUGGUUGUGCAGUUCCGCAAUUUUGCCCUCACCAAAAUGAUGCCAUCACGCCAACUUUGUCUGAAUUAUAUCAAAG